AUGAAAGACCUUGGUGUGGCUGAUGUUAUCUUGAACAUCAAGCUACUGAGAGAUAAUGAGGGUGGGAUUACACUUCUGCAAUCCCACUAUGUUGAGAAGGUGUUGAGUCGUUUUGGAUAUUCGGAUUGCACACCAUCUCAAACACCAUAUGAUCCUAGCGUGUUGAUUCGAAAGUCCAAAGGCACGGCUAUAGAUCAGUUGAGAUACUCUCAAAUCAUUGGUUCACUGAUGUACCUAGCGAGCGCAACGAGGCCCGACAUCGCGUUUGCUGUGAGCAAACUGAGCCGGUUUGUUUCCAAACCGGGUGAUGUACAUUGGCAUGCUGUUGAACGAGUCAUGCGCUAUCUGAAAGGUACUAUGAACUAUGGACUUCACUAUACCGGAGACCCGUCGGUACUUGAAGGGUAUAGUGAUGCAAAUUGGAUCUCUGAUGCUGAUGAGAUGAAGGCCACAACUGGGUGUAUGUUUACUCUUGGAGGUGGCGCUGUUUCCUGGAAGUCUUGCAAGCAAACGAUCUUAACGAGAUCGACAAUCGAAGCAGAAUUAACGGCAUUAGACACAUCUGGUGUU
rnacentral:rRNA from 1 species